AGGGUUUUUUCUACUUGUAUGCUGCAUCCACGUGGCCAGCGUGUGAUGUGGAACACCUGCCUGCAAGCAAGCUCAGCCAUUUCCCAAACAAGAUUACUGGCAAGGUCAGCUUCCUACCAGAACAAGCCUGUUUGCAGACAGGAUCUUCUUACUGUCAGGGACCAGAUCAAGGUCUGAGAGCCAUGGAACUAUUUUAAAGGAAGCAAGAUUAGUUCUGUUCCAGUCACAGCAAGUUGCACAGAGCCUUUUCUGGUUGAGGGCAGCCAUGGUCCACAGUGCAGUAGUGAGCAGCUGACUGCUGGCAUUCAGCAGAGUUGAUAGCUCAUGCUUUCUGACACAGGAUCACUCAGCUGCUGAACGGUAAGCUUCAUGCACAUCUCCCCUAUCAUCUUACAGUUUUUCAACCACUACCAGUUGUCCCAGGUGUGCAGUGCAAACCCAGUACAGUCAGCAUUGUAUCAUGAGUAUAGAAAUAGCAUGGCACACAGUGAAAUGUUAGCUCUUCCCAAAAGACCAAACUCGUCCUCCUUACCUUGCUGUUGUUACUGCUGGGGUCUGCACUGCUGGCAAGCUUGCGACAAGAGCUUCUUAUGAGACCUGAUACGCAGUGACUGACAUAGAGAUUUAACCCAAGGUGCAACAGCUGUGAAACCACAUCUACAUGUUUGUGAUAAAUAACAUUACAGUUGAGUAUUAUGUCAGGUAUUCUGGCUAGAAAUAUGUUGAAUAAGCUGAG
rnacentral:lncRNA from 1 species